UCGGGUGUAGUGCACGGCGCACGGCGGCUUCAUUUAUAGUAGUAGAGAGGAGAAAUGUAAGCCGCAGCCCUGGGUUCGACUCCCCGCACCCGAC